rnacentral:tRNA from 4 species
GCUGGUGUAGCUCAACGGUAGAGCUCCUGUUUUGUAAACAGGAGGUUGUGGGUUCGAAUCCCUCCGCCAGCU